rnacentral:lncRNA from 1 species
GUCUAAUGAACUUAAAAAUUUUUGUUUUGCCUUUGAGCAAUUCACUAUGCUGUUGAAUAUUAAUCCUCUCAAAAAAAUGUUUGAAGAAAUUUUCUUUUUAUUUAUAAAAUCUGAAAUGAGAAAAAUUUAACCCCCCCCCCCCCCAUUUCUUUUUCACAUCCCCCUUUCCCUUUUUCCAAAACUGAUAUCAAUUCAAAUUUC